rnacentral:rRNA from 1 species
UACAUGUGGGGCAAGCGUUGUUCGGAAUUACUGGGCAUAAAGGGUGCGUAGGUGGCUUGUUAAGUCAGGGGUGAAAGUUUUCGGCCCAACCGGAAAAUGGCCUUUGAUACUGGCGAGCUCGAGUGCGUGAGGGGUAACCGGAACGAGCAGUGUAGCGGUGAAAUGCGUAGAUAUUGCUCGGAAGGCCAACGGCGAAGGCAGGUUACUGGUGCGCAACUGACGCUGAGGCGCGAAAGCUAGGGGAGCAAACAGG